rnacentral:rRNA from 1 species
AAUUCAGAGAUGGAUUUGUGCCUUCGGGAACCGUGAGACAGGUGCUGCAUGGCUGUCGUCAGCUCGUGUUGUGAAAUGUUGGGUUAAGUCCCGCAACGAGCGCAACCCUUAUCCUUUGUUGCCAGCGAUUAGGUCGGGAACUCAAAGGAGACUGCCAGUGAUAAACUGGAGGAAGGUGGGGAUGACGUCAAGUCAUCAUGGCCCUUACGACCAGGGCUACACACGUGCUACAAUGGCGCAUACAAAGAGAAGCGACCUCGCGAGAGCAAGCGGACCUCAUAAAGUGCGUCGUAGUCCGGAUUGGAGUCUGCAACUCGACUCCAUGAAGUCGGAAUCGCUAGUAAUCGUGGAUCAGAAUGCCACGGUGAAUACGUUCCCGGGCCUUGUACACACCGCCCGUCACACCAUGGGAGUGGGUUGCAAAAGAAGUAGGUAGCUUAACCUUCGGGAGGGCGCUUACCACUUUGUGAUUCAUGACUGGGGUGAAGUCGUAACAAGGUAACCGUAGGGGAACCUGCGGUUGGAUCACCUCCUUA